AAUGCACAGCCGGUGUAACCACAGCGGUCCCUGAGUCACAGGGAGAUAGCACCAAGGCACGGGGGUCACGGUGACGCUAGUGAUGCGAGCGGAAUGUGGGCAAGAAGAGGCAGGAUCGGAUUCCUCCUGUGUCCUCUGGAAGGAAGGCAGCCUCAGGGAUACCAGGGCGUUGGCUCCAGGAGACCUGUGCCUCGCUCUGAUGUAGACAGCUGACAGUGAUUCGCUUGUAAAGUCUUAAGCUGCCCGAUUCAUGGUGACACAUUCAAGCAGCAACAGAUAACUAAAACAAGUAAAAAGCUCCAUGGGAGAAGGGGUAGGGACUAAAGAGACAGAGUUGAAUCUGAGAAACAUCGAAGAGGUGGAAUCCAACGAAGAGGUGGAAUCCAACUUGAACACCAGUUUGACCUGUGGGCCUAACCUGACCACUCAGCUUCACUUUCCGUACUCGUACGAUGGGCAACACUUGAGGGUUGGCAUUGACGGCGAAGAAGUCUGGAGCACUUCAAGGAUCUGGCACUCACCCCGUAAUUAACGUUGACCACAGGCUCCCUGGCUAGAGGAGAUUACCGUCCGCCGCUCCAAAGAGCGGCAAGAACAGACAGCAACAAUUUCCGUCCUUGGGGCCCUGGCUGGAAACUUCAAGUGGCAUCCGUACUGUUCAUUCUGACCACUCUGGGAUUUUUAGAUUCUUAUUUUUGGAAUGCUUUGGGGCUUUUCAAGGCCAGCCAGCACUUUCAUCCAUGUGUGUUUUAUGAGAUUAAAUGCGUUGAGGACUUAAUGCCUCCCUGUGCUCUGUGAGGUUUCUUAAAUGUCUUUCUGUUCUCACAAUUCAUGACUUACUCCUCAACCCAAGGUCACUGUGCUCAUGGUGCUGGUGGAAUGGCCACAAAAGAGUCACUAUUAGCCAGACGUGGUGGCCAAUGCCUGUGAUCUCAGCCUUCAGAGGCUGAGGCAGGAGGAUUGCCUGAGUUCAAGGCCAGCUACAUAGAGACUCUGUCUCAAAGAACUAAAAGUAGGAGUCACCAUUGCAGGAGGGUGUGUAGGAGGCACAGCCCAACUGAAUAGGCUUCCAAGGCCCAACUGGGAGCAUUUUGCGUAUGAAGCUAGUGUCAUGUUGGAUGAUCACCUAGGUUUAAAAUAAACACCUGUGAGUCUGUCCUGAGAGAACAAAUGGCUGAAAACCAUCCACAAGUACCCCACGGAGAGGAAUUCCCAAGAGUUCAUGUAGGUUUCCCAUCGUCUACAAAGAUACUGGACCGUCCUGGUCACUGGGUGUGUGGGGGGUCACGAGGAGUGGAGGAGGGGCAGUGGAGGCACCUGACCCAGGCGAAGGCCGCUGGAGGAAGAGGGUCGCCGCAGGGAUGAUGCCGGGGUGUGCUCUGCGCUGUGUGUUCUAAGAGUCCUCAUGGCCCUCUGACCCUGCACUUCAGGGCUGAGUGUGUGGCCUGGUGGUGAGGGGUGGUCCCUUACCAGGGCUGGUGACUAAAGGUCAUGACGCUACUGGGGAUGAGGUUCUGGAACAGGGAAAGGAUGUUAGUUCAAAAACCAAGAAAAUCAGAAUAAAUAUAGAUUUGGGGGAAUACACGUGUAUGCACGGGACCCAGGCCCAAUAGCAUGGACCUGUAUCUCAGCCUCUCAGGAGGCUGAGGCAGGAGGAUUGCUCCAGUCCAGGAGUUGCAGGCCAGUGUGGACAACACAGGGAGAAACUAGCCCUCCUCCGAAAAGGUUCAUAAUUAUAACAGAUCUAUCAUGCUAAUGGGAAACUGCUCUCUGAGCUCUCUUUGAAAUUUUUCUGUAAAAGUAAAACUUCUAAAACAGUUUAUUUUUUCAAGUCAUGGUCUACUUCUUCCUAUGACUUCUCAGUUUUCAUCCUGCAUCACAGGAUAUCUUCCUCAUGGAG
rnacentral:lncRNA from 1 species